CAGCUGGACACAGUUUAGAUGAUCCCAAUUUUGUUGGCAACAUCCAAAGCAUCACAGUCAGGAGUCAGUCAAACAUAUGCCUUCUUUCCUCCAUGGGGCUUGAUCGGAGUGUUGACCUUGGCCAUGUCAAUGUCAUAGAGCUUCUUCACAGCCUGUUUGAUCUGAUGCUUGUUGGCCUUGACAUC
rnacentral:lncRNA from 1 species